AAGAGUGCAGCAGGAGAGAGCAGACUCCCCUGGACCCAGCUGUGUCUCCAUGAAGAGUGACUGGUCUAUGGAUAAUCCUCGGAACUUUAAAGAUGGAAAUCAGUCUACUGAGAAGAGGUGAUGAUAUGUCAAAGAUUAUAAAACUACAGCAUCUAUCAAAUAUCCUGAUCCUGACCAUAUAUCCUGAUUCUUGUUUUUGUAGAAGAGUGCAGCAGGAGAGAGCAGACUCCCCUGGACCCAGCUGUGUCUCCAUGAAGAGUGACAGCUCUAUGGACUAUCCUCAGAACUUUAAAGAUGGAAAUCAGUCUAUUGAGAAGAGAAGAGUGCAGAAGGAGAGAGCAGACUCCCCUGGACCCAGCUGUGUCUCCAUGAAGAGUGACGCGUCUAUGGGAAUUCCUUUGAACUUUAAAGAUUCACGCCCCUCCAGAAAGGAAGGGCGAUCCCAGGAGAGGUCAAAGGUUUCCAGUGCUCAGUCUGUACUGCAGAAUCAAACAGAGCUGAUCAAGAGGGCUGAGGAGAACGCACAUACUUUUCUAGACAAGGAGCUGAAGAAGCUCUGGAGGGAUCUCUUCUCAGAUUACCCACAAUGCUCAGAGAGUCGGAGGGAAGUGGAGGAGGAGGAUGGUAAGAACGAGGAGCAGAGGAGGCGCGCCAUAGAGGGAGUGGUAGACAUCACAAAGCUCUGCCUGAUGGAGAUGAACCAGGAGGAACUGGCCGACAAGCUGUGGAGUGGUAAGAUACUCAUAUAGGUUAAAUGGUUUGAUCCAAAUAUGUAGGGUUAUUGUGGGCCAUCAGGUUAAAUUGAUUGAUCCAUACAUGUACGGUUAUUGUGGGGGUAUCAAAUUGAAUGGUUUGAUACAGAUAUGUAGGGUGGGGGUAUUAGGUUAAAGUAUGUUAAACAUUAUACUGCAGAUCAAUGUCAGAAUUACUCAGUGGAAGAGAUGCACUACUAUCUUGUUAUAUCAGGUUAGGAAGUCACUUUCUGCUGAUACUAGGGGUGCAACGGAUCACAAAACUCACGGUUCGGAUCGUGUCACGGUUUUUGAGUCACGGGUCGGAUUAUUUUCGGAUCAACAACAAUAAAGAUAAUAAGACAAAUGUGACUUUAAAUAAAAUCUUAAAAUGUGUAAAAACUUAAUAAAGUGAAAAAUUAGGUAAUAAUCCUGCUUCCUUUAAAGGAGCAUUUCACCGGUGGAGGCAUGAAUAUGUAUUGAAAUUGGGUCCUAUAUGUAGUCGAAUAAUAAAAUACAAUUCUAAUUUGGUGCCGUCUUGACCGAGAAAAGGCAGAAAGUGACUUUUUGGCGCUUGUGGAUUGAAGACAAUAACACCCACCGUGCACCACGAUGCACAGCUUCGCUGGCCACUCCCGCUGAUCUAGAUCUCCGCCUCCCGUUCCUCUCUCAGCCUCAGCUGCUCGUCGCUAUAUUGCGGCUCGUAAAGGUAGCCACAAACAUCUGAUUCGAGCAUCAGAUCUUCAAAAUCCCCAUCUUCUAUAUCAGAUCCAGUACCUUCCGCCAUUGUACUUCAGUUUUAUCAACAGCCUCUGUUAGCUUAGUUUCAGAGGCUGUGGAUGUUAAUUUCUGCUGGUGAAAACCCACCCACUGGCACUGCUCUAAUAGGUCUGUAGCGUCAAUGGGUGCUUGUAGUCUUACGAGAAUCCUCCCCUCUUACACCUCCUAUUUACUUCUACGCAAAAAUCGUCAUAUUGCGUCAUCUUAAACAGGAAGUGUUGGAGAUCGAUACGGAUCUCUCCAGUCUCUCCAGAAAAUAAGGGAAUGAUGCACGACCAUUCAAAAAUAUGAGUGUGUUUCCAACGAUACAAAGCUUAAUGGAAAUGGGUGAAGUUUCCCUGUAAGCAUAGUCAAUAUUUAAAAAAAUUGCAAUCUGAGGCAUUAUUCCUUCUUCUUUUUAACAUGGAUAGUAAAUAAUCCCUAACCCUGGAUUUACAAUUCAGGAUGUCUGCAUUGCCUGGGGAGAGUUUAAAGUCUACACUCUCCAAAGGCAAUGCAGACAUCCUCAUCUUUUUUUUUUUCAUCAAGUAUGGUAGCGAAAUACAGUUUCUGUCUUGUUUUAUUUGGCACAUUGUAAAUCCAUUGAUUUCGGAUGGAAGACUCAUUGCUCAUUGCAAAGGGGGUUGUUUGUAGUCUUUUCGCUCGGUUCUAGUUCUACUGUUGAUACGGAGAACCGAGCGAAAAGACUACAACCAAACAUAAACAUGUCCGGUUACGGUUCCGGUUACCGUUUCAAUGGGAUUUAGGGAACGCCAAAUAAAACACAACAGAAACUGAAUUUCGCUACAAUACUUGAUGAUGUUGUUAAUACCGGAAUUGUCCUUUCAACAAGCGCUGAUCAAGUGAACGCACAACUCUAUUUUUUAUUAGCCGAUCCGCGGAUCAAUUUCGUCCCGAACCGUGAGGGUUGAUCCAUACGGAUCACGGGUAACCCGUGAACCGUUGCACCACUAGCUGAUACUCAAAAAUGAUAGCACUACUAACAAAGUUAUAAGAUCCAUAUGAAGUAGGAUUUAGAAUACUUACUUCAUAACAC
ensembl:lncRNA